rnacentral:rRNA from 1 species
CUUUCUCCGCCGGCGACCGGCGCACGGAUGAGUAACACGUAUGCAACCUGCCCCUGUCAGGGGGACAACCCGCCGAAAGGCGGGCUAAACCCGCGUACAUGCCACCGGGGCAUCCCGGAGGCAGGAAAGGCUUCGGCCGGACAGGGAUGGGCAUGCGGCGCAUUAGGCAGUAGGCGGGGUAACGGCCCACCUAACCGACGAUGCGUAGGGGUUCUGAGAGGAAGGUCCCCCACACUGGUACUGAGACACGGACCAGACUCCUACGGGAGGCAGCAG